CUUGGUCAUUUAGAGGAAGUAAAAGUCGUAACAAGGUUUCCGUAGGUGAACCUGCGGAAGGAUCAUUACCAAGAGAAAUCUUUCAACACUGAAAGAUCUUUUCCUUUGUGCUGGCUUUGACCGUAUGUAAUUUUGGGACUUUAAAAUGGUUCGCAAGGGCCGGUCCCAAAAACAAUAUAUCAUCCUUAUGAAAUUUUUUCUGAACAAUUAAACAAAUGAUUUUAAUAAUCUGUUUAAAACAACUUUCAACAACGGAUCUCUUGGUUCUCGCAUCGAUGAAGAACGCAGCGAAAUGCGAUACGUAAUGUGAAUUGCAGAAUUCAGCGAAUCAUCGAAUCUUUGAACGCACAUUGCACUCCUUGGUAUUCCGAGGAGUAUGCCUGUUUCAGUAUCAUGAGCACUCUCACACCUAACCUUUGGGUUUAUGGCGUGGAAUUGGAAUGCGCCGACUGUCAUGGUUGGCCCUUCUAAAAUGUAGUUCUUGGCUGUCACCUAAUACAGCAGUUUGGCCUAAUAGUUUUGGCAUUCAUUGUCAAAUCUUUGGCUAACAUUUGCUCCAGGAGUCAGUCUUGAUAAUACAGAAAACUCAUUCAAAUUUUGAUCUGAAAUCAGGUAGGGCUACCCGCUGAACUUAAGCAUAUCAAUAAGCGGAGGA
rnacentral:rRNA from 1 species